rnacentral:rRNA from 1 species
GAGCGUUCUGUAAGCCUGUGAAGGUGGCCUGUGAGGGUUGCUGGAGGUAUCAGAAGUGCGAAUGCUGACAUAAGUAACGAUAAAGCGGGUGAAAAGCCCGCUCGCCGGAAGACCAAGGGUUCCUGUCCAACGUUAAUCGGGGCAGGGUGAGUCGACCCCUAAGGCGAGGCCGAAAGGCGUAGUCGAUGGGAAACGGGUUAAUAUUCCCGUACUUGGUGUUACUGCGAAGGGGGGACGGAGAAGGCUAUGUUGGCCGGGCGACGGUUGUCCCGGUUUAAGCGUGUAGGCUGGUUUUCCAGGCAAAUCCGGAAAAUCAAGGCUGAGGCGUGACGACGAGGCACUACGGUGCUGAAGCAACAAAUGCCCUGCUUCCAGGAAAAGCCUCUAAGCAUCAGGUAACAUCAAAUCGUACCCCAAACCGACACAGGUGGUCAGGUAGAGAAUACCAAGGCGCUUGAGAGAACUCGGGUGAAGGAACUAGGCAAAAUGGUGCCGUAACUUCGGGAGAAGGCACGCUGACACGUAGGUGAAGUGAUUUACUCAUGGAGCUGAAGUCAGUCGAAGAUACCAGCUGGCUGCAACUGUUUAUUAAAAACACAGCACUGUGCAAACACGAAAGUGGACGUAUACGGUGUGACGCCUGCCCGGUGCCGGAAGGUUAAUUGAUGGGGUCAGCGCAAGCGAAGCUCCUGAUCGAAGCCCCGGUAAACGGCGGCCGUAACUAUAACGGUCCUAAGGUAGCGAAAUUCCUUGUCGGGUAAGUUCCGACCUGCACGAAUGGCGUAAUGAUGGCCAGGCUGUCUCCACCCGAGACUCAGUGAAAUUGAACUCGCUGUGAAGAUGCAGUGUACCCGCGGCAAGACGGAAAGACCCCGUGAACCUUUACUAUAGCUUGACACUGAACAUUGAGCCUUGAUGUGUAGGAUAGGUGGGAGGCUUUGAAGUGUGGACGCCAGUCUGCAUGGAGCCGACCUUGAAAUACCACCCUUUAAUGUUUGAUGUUCUAACGUGGACCCGUAAUCCGGGUUGCGGACAGUGUCUGGUGGGUAGUUUGACUGGGGCGGUCUCCUCCUAAAGAGUAACGGAGGAGCACGAAGGUUGGCUAAUCCUGGUCGGACAUCAGGAGGUUAGUGCAAUGGCAUAAGCCAGCUUGACUGCGAGCGUGACGGCGCGAGCAGGUGCGAAAGCAGGUCAUAGUGAUCCGGUGGUUCUGAAUGGAAGGGCCAUCGCUCAACGGAUAAAAGGUACUCCGGGGAUAACAGGCUGAUACCGCCCAAGAGUUCAUAUCGACGGCGGUGUUUGGCACCUCGAUGUCGGCUCAUCACAUCCUGGGGCUGAAGUAGGUCCCAAGGGUAUGGCUGUUCGCCAUUUAAAGUGGUACGCGAGCUGGGUUUAGAACGUCGUGAGACAGUUCGGUCCCUAUCUGCCGUGGGCGCUGGAGAACUGAGGGGGGCUGCUCCUAGUACGAGAGGACCGGAGUGGACGCAUCACUGGUGUUCGGGUUGUCAUGCCAAUGGCACUGCCCGGUAGCUAAAUGCGGAAGAGAUAAGUGCUGAAAGCAUCUAAGCACGAAACUUGCCCCGAG